UGGGGAAUAUUGGACAAUGGGCGAAAGUCUGAUCCAGCCAUGCCGCGUGUGUGAAGAAGGUCUUCGGAUUGUAAAGCACUUUAAGUUGGGAGGAAGGGCAGUAAGCGAAUACCUUGCUGUUUUGACGUUACCGACAGAAUAAGCACCGGCUAACUCUGUGCCAGCAGCCGCGGUAAUACAGAGGGUGCAAGCGUUAAUCGGAAUUACUGGGCGUAAAGCGUGCGUAGGCGGCUAAUUGAGUCGGAUGUGAAAUCCCCGAGCUUAACUUGGGAAUUGCAUUCGAUACUGGUUAGCUAGAGUGUGGGAGAGGAUGGUAGAAUUCCAGGUGUAGCGGUGAAAUGCGUAGAGAUCUGGAGGAAUACCGAUGGCGAAGGCAGCCAUCUGGCCUAACACUGACGCUGGGGUACGAAAGCGUGGGGAGCAAACAGG
rnacentral:rRNA from 1 species